rnacentral:rRNA from 1 species
AUAGCCUUCCGAAAGGGAGAUUAAUACCCGAUGGCAUGUAUUUCCGGCAUCGGAGAUACAUUAAAGAUUUAUCGGUAACGGAUGAGGAUGCGUACGAUUAGCUUGUUGGCGGGGUAACGGCCCACCAAGGCGACGAUCGUUAGGGGUUCUGAGAGGAAGGUCCCCCACACUGGAACUGAGACACGGUCCAGACUCCUACGGGAGGCAGCAGUGAGGAAUAUUGGUCAAUGGGUCGGAAGACUGAACCAGCCAAGUAGCGUGAAGGAUGACUGCCCUACGGGUUGUAAACUUCUUUUGUUUGGGAAUAAAGACGCUACGUGUAGCGUUCUGCAUGUACCUUACGAAUAAGCAUCGGCUAAUUCCGUG